CCAUUUCCUAAUUCGCAUCUCCAGCGACAGAGGCGGCGCCGGUCGCCAACUAACCACGGCGGCGCCGGUCGAUCUCGCCUGCCUGCGUCACGUGCGUGGCCGAGGGCGGCUGCCGCUGUAGGCCGGCGAGCCGGCCACCAGGACGCGCCGGCGAGGGCCAUGGAUGGCUUUGGCUGCCGUCGUCCUCCACGCGCAGCUCGCGCCACGGGGAUCCCUCCUUCUCGGCGUCCUCCUUCCGCGGCAGUACUCCGACGUGCUGCGUCCUGGCGGUCUCCUCCGACGACCUCGCCGGGAAUAAGUCCGCCCCCGAGUGACCGGGAAACUUGAAGAAGAUGUUGGCCAAGGCUGAACCCGAACUCAGUAACCGUGUAUUUGUUUGGUGUUAUGGGUGCUGUAUACAACGGUGUCCUCCUCAAGUGCUCACUGUUGUUCUUCUUCGGCUACAACCAUACUGGCUUCAUCAAACACACCAUGCAGAUCAUAUGUAGGAUGAUGACUUGGAGGAUUUCAGAACAUGUGCAGUAGUAUUGGCCACAGAAAACACUAAAGUGAAGGUACUUGCCAAAUUUGCAUCACUCAGUCCUCACAAGCAUGUAGUGGAAGUUUGCGAUUGGUUUUCUCAUGGGAGGGUUGUCAGCUGCAGUUUGAAAGACUGCUGCAGCUCCCAUUGAGCGUGUUAAGCUGCUUAUUCAGAACGAGGAUGAGAUAAUCAAGUCUGGCUGGCUCUCUAAGCCAUACAAGGGUAUUGGUGUCGGCUCUGAGCAGACAAUCAAGGAUGAAGUUUUUUGCUCACUUUGGAUUGGGGACACUGCUAAUGUCAUCGGUAUGGCCCAACUCAGAAGGCUGCAAAACCCGUGGAAUGGCUAAUGCUUUGCUCCGCGUGUGGGAGGAAGCUGCUCGUGAUCUGCAUGCCGCGUCAAGCAUUGAGUGUGAUGGUGGAGCCUCAUGCACACAAGAUGGUGGAGCACCGCUGGAGGUAUGGCAACUGUGAAAACUGAGGGAAGAAAGAAAGCUGAGCGUCACCGGCUUCAUCGUCGUGCCAACGCACACGGGUGAUUCUUCGUAUUAAAGUUGCUACUCCCGGAGUACCGGGUGGUGGACAGAGGACGUGCUAGCGGCCGAGCCUUGUGCAUUGUCUGGUGCUGGUAGGUAGCUUCUGGGACGCUGAGCCAGGGUGGCUUGUUGGUAAUUUUAGGCCGUACAGAAUCUUUAUGUUUUAUUGUUAAGUAGGAGAAGAAUACUGUGAUGUUAAGAGUAACAUGCUCAUUGCUGGCCUGGAGACUCCAGGUUAGUUUUGUGUCUACAUCAUUGCUGGUCGAUCUUCGGAAGCUUUGUUUUGGUUUUGAAAAAGAAAAGAGCCUGUGUGUUUUACAAUAUGUUGUAUGUGCAUGAAGCUCUUUUGAAAUAUGGUGUUAAGUAGAUUGCUUGUUGGUAAUGUUAGGCUGUCCGUAAUAGGAAAGCGUAUGUCUGAGCGCUGCAUUGCUGAAACUCUGCAUUGGUCGUCUGGUGCAGGGGAUGGUGAGUCGCCGGCUAGGAGGACAUGGCCUGACUAUGUGCCGUGGCUCAUCUUUGGCUGAUUCAGUCAGGCGUCCUUCUCGGGUUGUGCUGCUGGUUCUUCAUCUUAUUUAAAGUAAUGUUUCGAAUCGUUGUAGUAUACUACUCCCUCUGUCUAUAAAAGCAUGUCUUAACUUUGCCAAAAAAAAAUUUGAAUGGUACUUUGCCAAAAUUUGAAUGCAUCUAAACCCAUUGAGGACAAGGAGGCCAAGGCCGUGUGGUUUGGUCUGGCUGUGUCGACAGUCGUAGCAGCUUCUUCUGUGUGAAAAAAUGCUUCAUUGGUUGUAAUAUUUCGUGUCGGGUUUGUAUCGUAAUGCUCCAGUCCAGAAGCUAUGUGAAAAAAUGUGCUUGAGAGGUGUUUUUUUAUAUAUUUUCUAAUGAUGCAUGCUGUCAAAGUCCAGAAAAUAGGGGUGGUAGCCGUGAUUUUUUGUUUUGAAUUGCUAAGGUAAUCU